UCAGUCUUGUCCAAAUUCAUAUUUUAAAACCAUCCUAAGUCUUCCAAACACUUUUAAACAUUUAUAAAUCAUCAUCAAUAGUAUUUAAACUUACCGAGCAUUGUGCAUUCAUGUUUUGAGUCUUCGAGUCUUCGAGUCUUCGAUAUUCAUCUCUUCUUCUUCUUCAAACUUUCAAGACUCCGAGUUACUUCACAAAAUAUGCCAACAUAAAAUCCGUAACAACCUCUACAACCAUCGCCAGAAAAGCGAUGCAUCCUCUACUCAACAACUGCCUAGCCCUUGCAGAUGAGAUCUAAGUGGCAAACAACAUACUCCUGCAGCCCCUGUACGU
rnacentral:lncRNA from 1 species